GAGAAAGAUGAGCAGGAUCUGGAUGGCCUCUCUCACGGGGCUGAGGAAGGCUCUGUUGGCUGAGUUUUUGGUGGUGUGUUUGUGAUAAAAGAUAGGACAAAGAAUGGUGAGGCAGAAAAGGAGUGCAGCUACUGAAUUCUUCACAUCAUAUCUGAAUUGUAUUUUGAAUCCUCCAAGGAGACAUCCAUUUUGCCUCGAAGAGUGUCCUGAUUUGACCCUUCAAGUUGUACUCAGCACGGCCUUCACAAGAUUGACUGGGGUUUUGCCAGGAGCCAAUGACUGAGUUGUUCUGGUCCCGUGCUUCCAAGAUCACAGAGGCAGAAAUAAAAGCAUUGAGGGCACUUCGUGGUCUGGGUUGGUGGGUGAAGGACUGAAAUGAGACAAGAAUAGAAGUCUGCGCUCACUACUCCCCAGCCCCCGACAAAAAAGGAACUUGAAACUGCACCCCCAACAGGGGGAGGAGGAAGCUUUGGACAUCCUUCUCAUGUGACCAGCUAGCAAGGCUUUGAAACCAUGCCCCACAGCGUUAACAGAAACUGGUGACUAUCAGAAAUUCUUGAGCUUAUCUUACAGAACAGCAGAGCAAUAGUUUCCAACUGGGAGUGAUUUUGCCACCCGGAGGAUAUUUGGCAAUGUCUGGAGGCAUUUUUGUUGCUACAACUAGUGAAGAGGGUGCUCCUGGUGAGCAGUCGAAGCCAGGCUGCUGCAAAAUGUUCUACAACACACAGCAUGGCCCCCACGACAAACAGUUGUCCAGCCCCAAAUGUCAACAGUGCUGAGGUUGUGAAACCCUGCUCUAGAGGAAAGGAAUUACCAGGAGCACAGGUUCCGUCCUUGGUCUGAGAAGAUCCCAUAUGACAUGGGGCAGCUUAGCCCGCGCACCACAGCUUACUGAAGCCCGCAGGCCUAGAGCGUGAGAGCUGCCCCUACUGAAGCCCACGCAUCCUUGAGCCUGUGCUCUGCAACAAGAGAAGCCACCGCAGUGAGAAGAGCGUGCAUCACAACAAAGCGGAGCCGCUGCUUGCCACAACCAGAGCAAGUCUGUGUGCAGCAACAA